GGGCGCGUAGCUCAAUGGCAGAGCAGUGGCCUUUUAAGCCAUUGGUUAAGAGUUCGAGUCUCUUCGCGCUCACAA
rnacentral:tRNA from 1 species